UAACGAAUCUUCCGCAAUGGGCGAAAGCCUGACGGAGCAAUGCCGCGUGUGGGAUGAAGCGCCUUCGGCGUGUAAACCACUGUCAGGGAAUGGAACCAAUGAUUAUUCCCAAAGGAAGUGGCGACUAACUCUGUGCCAGCAGUCGCGGUAAUACAGAGGCCACAAGCGUUAGUCGGAAUCACUGGGCUUAAAGGGUGCGUAGGCGGGCCCGCAAGCGUCUUGUGAAAUCCCAUGGCUCAACCAUGGAAUUGCAGGGCGAACUGCGGGUCUUGAGGCAGGUAGGGGCCGGAAGAACAGUAGGUGGAGCGGUGAAAUGCGUAGAUAUCUACUGGAAUGCCGAUGGGGAANCCGUCCGGCUGGGCCUGUCCUGACGCUGAGGCACGAAAGCGUGGGGAGCAAACAGGAUUAGAUACCCACGUAGUCCCUGAGCGGGCUGGCAAGGCGCAU
rnacentral:rRNA from 1 species